rnacentral:misc_RNA from 1 species
GGAAUCAAUUUUGCUUAAACGCGACGAGCUCUAAAUCGUAGAAAUUAAGGCCUCAGCAACAUUUGCAUGAUCUGAGCGGU